rnacentral:misc_RNA from 1 species
UGUGGGAGCUGGCUUGCCUGCGAUAGCAGUGUGUCAGGCACUGAAUCUGCCACUGAUAGACCGCUAUCGCAGGCAAGCCAGCUCCCACA